GUCCUUUUGAUUUUUAUUUAAGGUCUGACCUGCCCACUGAUUUAUUUAAUGGCCGCGGUAUUCUGACCGUGCAAAGGUAGCAUAAUAAUUUGUCUUUUAAUUGAAGGCUUGUAUGAAUGGUUGGACGAGAAAACUUCUUUCUUUAUAAUAAAUUUAUGAAUUUUAUUUUUUAGUUAAAAAGCUAAAAUGUAAUUGUAGGACGAGAAGACCCUAUAGAACUUUAUAAUUGUUAUUAUAUUAAUAUUUUUGGGUUAUGAAUAUAUUAUUUAAUAACAAUUAUUUUGUUGGGGCGACAAGAAAAUUUAUUUAACUUUUUUUAUUAAAUUUCAUUAAUUAAUGUAUAUAUGAUCCUUUAUUAAGGAUAAAUAGAAUAAGUUACCUUAGGGAUAACAGCGUAAUUUUUUUGGAGAGUUCUUAUCGAUAAAAAAGUUUGCGA
rnacentral:rRNA from 1 species